rnacentral:rRNA from 1 species
GACGAACGCUGGCGGCGUGCCUAAUACAUGCAAGUAGAACGCUGAAGCUUGGUGCUUGCACCGAGCGGAUGAGUUGCGAACGGGUGAGUAACGCGUAGGUAACCUGCCUGGUAGCGGGGGAUAACUAUUGGAAACGAUAGCUAAUACCGCAUAAGAGUAGAUGUUGCAUGACAUUUGCUUAAAAGGUGCAAUUGCAUCACUACCAGAUGGACCUGCGUUGUAUUAGCUAGUUGGUGAGGUAACGGCUCACCAAGGCAACGAUACAUAGCCGACCUGAGAGGGUGAUCGGCCACACUGGGACUGAGACACGGCCCAGACUCCUACGGGAGGCAGCAGUAGGGAAUCUUCGGCAAUGGACGGAAGUCUGACCGAGCAACGCCGCGUGAGUGAAGAAGGUUUUCGGAUCGUAAAGCCCUGUUGUAAGAGAAGAACGAGUGUGAGAGUGGAAAGUUCACACUGUGACGGUAUCUUACCAGAAAGGGACGGCUAACUACGUG